CUUGCUUCUCUUGAGAGCGGCGGACGGGUGAGUAAUGCCUAGGAAUCUGCCUGGUAGUGGGGGAUAACGUCCGGAAACGGACGCUAAUACCGCAUACGUCCUACGGGAGAAAGCAGGGGACCUUCGGGCCUUGCGCUAUCAGAUGAGCCUAGGUCGGAUUAGCUAGUUGGUGGGUUAAUGGCUCACCAAGGCGACGAUCCGUAACUGGUCUGAGAGGAUGAUCAGUCACACUGGAACUGAGACACGGUCCAGACUCCUACGGGAGGCAGCAGUGGGGAAUAUUGGACAAUGGGCGAAAGCCUGAUCCAGCCAUGCCGCGUGUGUGAAGAAGGUCUUCGGAUUGUAAAGCACUUUAAGUUGGGAGGAAGGGCAGUAAAUUAAUACUUUGCUGUUUUGACGUUACCGACAGAAUAAGCACCGGCUAACUCUGUGCCAGCAGCCGCGGUAAUACAGAGGGUGCAAGCGUUAAUCGGAAUUACUGGGCGUAAAGCGCGCGUAGGUGGUUCGUUAAGUUGGAUGUGAAAUCCCCGGGCUCAACCUGGGAACUGCAUUCAAAACUGACGAGCUAGAGUAUGGUAGAGGGUGGUGGAAUUUCCUGUGUAGCGGUGAAAUGCGUAGAUAUAGGAA
rnacentral:rRNA from 1 species